rnacentral:rRNA from 1 species
GAUGAACGCUGGCGGCGUGCCUAAUACAUGCAAGUCGAGCGAACGGACGAGAAGCUUGCCUCUCUGAUGUUAGCGGCGGACGGGUGAGUAACACGUGGAUAACCUACCUAUAAGACUGGGAUAACUUCGGGAAACCGUAGCUAAUACCGGAUAAUAUUUUGAACCGCAUGGUUCAAAAGUGAAAGACGGUCUUGCUGUCACUUAUAGAUGGAUCCGCGCUGCAUUAGCUAGUUGGUAAGGUAACGGCUUACCAAGGCAACGAUGCAUAGCCGACCUGAGAGGGUGAUCGGCCACACUGGAACUGAGACACGGUCCAGACUCCUACGGGAGGCAGCAGUAGGGAAUCUUCCGCAAUGGGCGAAAGCCUGACGGAGCAACGCCGCGUGAGUGAUGAAGGUCUUCGGAUCGUAAAACUCUGUUAUUAGGGAAGAACAUAUGUGUAAGUAACUGUGCACAUCUUGACUGUACCUAAUCAGAAAGCCACGGCUAACUACGUG